rnacentral:lncRNA from 1 species
AAGAAAUAUUUGUUUUCAAAAUCUAAAAUUGGUCAGGUGAGCCACUCCUGUGAGUCAUUGAAUAGAAGCUCACAGAUUUCUUGUUAUAAAUUAUGGUGAUUGUAGAUUGACAGGGGUGGAUCUAUGCGGUUUUAGCUUGAAACUUUUAUUUCUCGUUAAUUUACAAAGGCACUUGUCUCAAAAUUUCCCCCCCCCCUAUAUAUACCUUAAUAUAGGAUUUUUUCUGAGACAUUGUGCCUGUGUUAAUUUACCACAAAAUAUUUCUCGCCACGUUUUGCUUGGCAGGCAAGAUAUCUACAAAGCACCCUCUCUAAAAGAAUAUUCCAAUGUUUCGAUAAUUAUACCUAAAAAAAAUAACUUUGCGUCCCCCUCCCCUAAUCUAAAAUCCUUGAUCCGCCCAUCAUAAUACAUGAAAUAGUGCAACACAAAUAAACUUUACCUCGCUGCUAGUUAAUCGGUCGCCAUUUUGUGCUUGGUCACAUGAUAUGAAUAAGAUGGUGCAAACGGGGACCGAGUGUAUCACGUCCGCGCUUUGCGAGUUUCCAACAUGUAAGCCGUCACACAAACUAUGUCCG